rnacentral:rRNA from 1 species
UACGUAGGUCCCGAGCGUUGUCCGGAUUUAUUGGGCGUAAAGCGAGCGCAGGUGGUUUAUUAAGUCUGGUGUAAAAGGCAGUGGCUCAACCAUUGUAUGCAUUGGAAACUGGUAGACUUGAGUGCAGAAGGGGAGAGUGGAAUUCCAUGUGUAGCGGUGGAAUGCGUAGAUAUAUGGAGGAACACCGGUGGCGAAAGCGGCUCUCUGGUCUGUAACUGACGCUGAGGCUCGAAAGCGUGGGUAGCGAACAGG